CUUAAGACACAGUCACUUCUUUCAGGUAGUACAGUGUUUAGCAUUGUUAUCACUAAUUAACUUACACUGCUUUUCUUUUCUUUGUUCUCUUCCUUUUUGAUGAACAAAAAGACUUGUAAGAAUUAUAAUAAACAUUUGUUCCAUGGACUCUUUGAUCUGUGUUUCUUUAAAACCAGAAUUGAAAAAAGUGUUAAAGAAUAAUCUUUAAGAUACUGGUUACAUUUUAUCAUAGUAAUGUGACUUGAAAAUAAUUGAAAUCCUUGAUUUUAAAUGAAAAUUAAAAAAAAUAUGUACAUCUCUGGCUCUGGACUUACCAUUAACUAUUUGAACCUCCGAAAAGAAUAUAAAUCAAGAGCAUUGGUACUCCAGUUCAUAUGUUCAUCCUACACAAAUACCCUGUGCCUCUCCUCUGUGCCUAGUAAUUUGCCAGUCAUCAGGACUGAGAUAAAAUACAGUCCCUUUAAGGAAAGCAUGGCAUAGUCCAGAAAUGAACCUCUUUGCUAAAAGUGAAAGAUAAGGCAUAUUCAUGGCAUCAUGUACUUUGAAGUAACAGAAGCAAGAAAGGAGCUGUCAAUAUUGAACCUUAAUUAUUUGCUUGGCACCUACUGCUUUAUGUACACUUUCUGAUUUUAUCCUAUUUUAUGAGAUACGAAUUUUUGUCUCCAUUUUUUAUUAUGUGGAAACUGAGGAUUAGAGAAGUUCAGCGGCUUGUCCAAAGGCUCACAUGCUGUAAAGUAGGGAACAGCAAAUUUCUUUAAUCUGAAGCUGAGUUUCUCCUCCCUACCCCACACUGUUUCCAAAAGUCUGACCACCUGCUAUGGCACAUGUACAUUCCAUUUCAGGGUAGGGUAGUGAUGUUUACUCUGGAGCACUGAUUCCCAGCCUUGGCUGCAUGUUGGAAUCACUUGGAGAGCUUUAAAAAAUAGUGAUGUUUGGGUCCCAUCUUAGGAGCCUAACUUACUAAUUAAUCCAGUAGAAGGCCUAAACAUUAAGAUUUUAAAGCGCCCCAAGUUCCCAUGUGUUUCUAAUGUUCAGUCAAAGUUAA